rnacentral:tRNA from 1 species
GCUCGGUUGGUGUAGUCCGGCCAAUCAUUUCGGCCUUUCGAGCCGAUGACACGGGUUCAAAUCCCGUACCGAGCA